CGUUAAGAUUUUGGCAGCUCAUCACUGCCUAAAUGUGUUACCUGUAGCAAUCCUUUCCUCCACCAUCAGCACAGAUACCAAACUAAAUUCUCCAGAGACUCCACAGCCUUGGUUUCACACAUAGGAGAACAACAGUGCGCCCAGAAGAACAGCACCAACAAUGAGCCCCCUCCCCCCCCCCCCCCCCCCCCGCAAAAGUUCUAAUUACAAACUCGGUUAAAGAAACAGUCUGGCAGCAAUUAAGCCCAAGUCCAAAUGUUGUGGGCAACCUGGCAGCAUGUAGAUUUCAGCAAAAUCACAAUGCUGAUUUAGUGUCUGUACACUUAUCGCCUCCGGCUGCAAGCUGUGAUGUCACAAACACAGGAUGAUGAGAUCGGCACAGGAUCAAGCGGGGAAGUGGUGAACUGGAAUGUGCUUGGCAAGAAAAGCUCUUCCUCAGACAUGUGCCUACAAUCACAGCAAAAGGCACAAAGGAAAUAACCAGCCAAGGAGAUAUAGAGAUCUUAUGUAUAUUCUUGUUGUUUGCUCCUGUAUGAAAGUCGCCUUUUAAGGGUGUCUUCGCUGCAGAGGUUACCUGGGUCCAGGCACCCAGGUCUGGAUAUCCAGGUUAGCCAAGCCCACCUGCAAAGCAUUGCUGAGCCGUGCUCAAAUCACACCCAAGUAGUUGUGUCCACACUGGUGCCACAGGAACCUGGGUUAGGCUCUAGCAUUUCAAGGGGCAUAUCCCAUGGUUCUGAGCACCGCACUAAGCUGAGCUGCUCUAGGAAUUGUUUCUUGGUAUGUUGCAGGAGAACUUGCCUAUCCUGCCCCAGGCCUCUGUGCAGAAUGUUUGUAGCCCAUCAACUCAGUAAACUAAAACACUUAUGACUCUGCAUGCUCCUCACUUCUGUCCAUUCCAGAUGAUGCCAAGGCAUGGCUCUAGCUCAGGACGAUUACCUGUUCCUAAUUUUGGCACUGUUAAUGCAGCAGAAUGCAGACGGAGGGCAUAAGACUCAGUGGAGGGCAUUGUGGCAGCAGCUCGUGGCCCUCAGGCAGUGGCAAUGGGUCCUGGUGAGGAGAUCAGACAGGCUGCAUGCUAACAUGGCAGAGUGGAGAUAGCUGAUGUAGAUUGUGGAUUCCUGUGGUUCGCUGUGAAUUCUUCCUGUGCUGACUGGAAGAGACUAGAGCAGGACCACAAGCACAGUGAGGUGGGAUUCCAUCCUCCCGAAGACCUGGGAUUACCAACAUUGGCUCCAGAACUUUCACAUCAGGAAGCAGACCUUCAUAGACCUGUGUGAAGAGCUUGCCCUAACCCUCCAGUGCCAGGACAUGCAGAUGAGGGAGGCCAUACUAGUCCAGAAUCAUAGACACGUAAGACUGGAAGGAGCCUUGAGGUCAUCUAGGCCAGUCCCCUGCACUCAAGGCAGGGCUUCAUAAUAACUAGAAGUGGGUUGCUAUUUCCAUCUGUGAGCUGGCUAUAGGUGGCCGGUGAUAAGUUGGUGGCUAACCACUCUGAUGCUGGCAAGUCAACUGUUGGUGCUGUGGUGGUGGAGGUGUGUGAGGCAAUUAUUGCUGUGGUUUACGGAGAGGUGGUGGACAUUGCGAAUGUCCCCAAAUCAUAAGCUGACUUUGAGAGAAUGGGGUUCUAGAACUGUGCUGGGACCAUCAACAGCACAGACAUGUGCCCACUGUUUGCCUGCCACAAAGUGCACGUGAACAUGCCAACCAGAAUGGAUACUGCCAGCUCCUUACUCAGGCCUGAGCCGACCAUAAAGGGAGGUUUGUGAUCACCAAUGUUGAUCACCUAUGUUGGAUGCAUUGGCAGGGUGCAUGAGGUCAGGGUGCUCAGGAGAUCUAGUGUUUACCCGUUUGGACAAGAAGGGACUUUAUUCCCUCCCAGUAAUAUGGAUAUCAAGGGGGUUCUGUGCCCACUGAUAUUUUAGGGAACCCAGCCCAUCUAUCCUCCAUUGCCCUGGCUCAUGAAGCCCUGCCCAAACAUCAGAGCACCUGGUAGAAAGCACCUUUAUUACACACUGAGCAGUUCCAGGAAGGUGGUGGAAUGUGCAUUUGGCUUACUGAGGCCAAGACAGUACUGCCUCCAAACUUGUUUGGAUGCCAGUGUGCCCAACGCCACUUGUGUCAUUAGGAUGUGCUGCAUACUACACAACAUAUACAGAGAUAAGGGGGACAGCUUUCCCGCGGAGUGGGUUCAAGACACUGCUAAGAUACAUGCCCAUACAGGCAAUGAGAAAUGGCAUCUCUGAUCACUGGGGCUGGGUCCAAGAGACCAAGGAAACACUGUGUGCCCAUAUCUUUGCAUCAUAUGGGGAGAUGGGUGGGGAAAUGAGAUACUAUGAUAGGGGAAUGUGAUGUUGUGUAGUCUUGUAUUUUGUGUGAGUGUGUGUGUUUAUUUGCUAUUGCUUUUAUGUAAUUUUCUGAGAAUUUAUGAGACUUGAUUAAAAGUUUUGGAUAAAA